UUAAAGAUCAUUCUCCGAUCCGCUUCAUCUAAAGAGUUGAUCCAUGAUGAGCGGACAGUGGGUAUAACUGGAAACGGCCAUGCCUCCCGUGCUUGGAAAGGGGAAUAGUUGGAGUAGUA
rnacentral:ncRNA from 2 species